rnacentral:tRNA from 1 species
GCUCUUGUAGUUUAUAAAAAAUAGUAUCCUUGUAAGAUAAAGAAGUAUUUAAGAGCU